AACUUCGGUGGAAGAGGUCCGAGGU
rnacentral:piRNA from 1 species